GGAGAGGUGGCCGAGUGGCUUAAGGCAGGCGCCUGCUAAGCGUCUAGUCCCUUUAUCGGGUCUCCCGGGUUCGAAUCCCGGCCUCUCCG
rnacentral:tRNA from 3 species